CUGGGGAUGUUUGCCUUUGUGUUCUGACUCUGACACUUUGUCAUGUGGACUCUUGGGCAAGAAACAGAGUUGUCCAUCCAUGGUCAGCUGGGGACUAUAGCCUCUGCCUCUGGCGGGGUGCCGCUGGACACCAUUAGGUGGGUCCCAAUCAUUUGCCCUCUAAGUUUGACUGGCAACAGCUGUGAGAAAGUGUUGCCUGGGAGAAUGGCUCCCUGCCCCUGCUCAUACUGUUUGAAAAACUCUGCCCACAGAAACGCAAGUUCAUUUCCUUCCUGCUGGCUACUGAUCUCUGUCUCCAGAAGGGAUUAAUCUCCCCUUUGGAAGGGCUCAGGGGAGGGCUGCUGGGCAGGGGUGUGCCCAGGUGUCAGUCCUGCCCUGGGGUGCGAGGCUGUCCCUGCUGCAACCUGGUUGGAGCCCUGAGAAGAGGAAGAGGGAGACCUGGGGCCAGGCGUCUCACUUAGGUGCUUUCUGGGCAGAGAGGCCAUCAGUGCUCCGAAUUCCACCGCAGACUUGGCUGGACGAGGGGCUGUGAAGGGACAGCUUCCCAAGAACCAAGCACAGUGUGGCAGGCACCGGGACCACAUGGCAUCCAAGCCCAACGAGCCAGUCGCCAUCCUCAGCCUGCGCAGACUGAGCCUCUCGGGCCCAGAACCACAGCAGCAGAAAGAGCCCAAGACCUUCACAGUGGAGGACGCGGUGGAGACCAUCGGGUUCGGCCUCUUCCACAUCGCCCUGUUCCUGAUCAUGGGCAGCACGGGGGUGGUCGAGGCCAUGGAGAUCAUGCUAAUCGCUGUGGUGUCCCCUGUCAUCCGCUGUGAGUGGCACCUGGAGAACUGGCAGGUGGCAUUCGUGACCACGGUGAGUACCUGUGUCCUGUGCCGUGCAGGAGCAGCUGAAGGGCUCAGCUCCCCUUUCUGUACCCUCGGGAUGGCCACUGAGAAACAAAUCCCUAACCUUGCAGGCUGGCAGGGCUGGCCAUGUAAUUAGAAGCCACUCACUUGGGCCAUCGUGAGCUAACCAG
rnacentral:lncRNA from 1 species